GUUUUAAUAGUUUAACAAAAACAUUGGUCUUGUAAAUCAAAAAUAAAAUAUCUUAUUUUUUAAAACA
rnacentral:tRNA from 2 species